rnacentral:rRNA from 1 species
CCUACGGGAGGCUGCAGUCGAGAAUCAUUCACAAUGGGGGAAACCCUGAUGGUGCGACGCCGCGUGGGGGAAUGAAGGUCUUCGGAUUGUAAACUCCUGUCAUGUGGGAGCAAAUUAAAAAGAUAGUACCACAAGAGGAAGAGACGGCUAACUCUGUGCCAGCAGCCGCGGUAAUACAGAGGUCUCAAGCGUUGUUCGGAAUCACUGGGCGUAAAGCGUGCGUAGGCUGUUUCGUAAGUCGUGUGUGAAAGGCGCGGGCUCAACCCGCGGACGGCACAUGAUACUGCGAGACUAGAGUAAUGGAGGGGGAACCGGAAUUCGCGGUGUAGCAGUGAAAUGCGUAGAUAUCGAGAGGAACACUCGUGGCGAAGGCGGGUUCCUAGACAUUAACUGACGCUGAGGCACGAAGGCCAGGGGAGCGAAAGGGAUUAGAUACCCGGGUAGUC